AAUGGAAACAUAAAAUAUGAUAUAAGAAAUAGGAAACUUUUAAAAUUUAAUAAAAAUUAUAUAUUGUAUCAAUAGCAAACAUUAACUCACCUCAACUAAGCCUGGAUUCGGCAAUAGCAAACAUUAAUAUUAUAAAAAUACAUUAAUAUCUGAUCGGGCUAAAAAAAAAAUACAAUACAAUACAUAAUAUAAUUCUAUUUAAAUGAAGGAAAUAAGAAUAUUUGUU
rnacentral:misc_RNA from 1 species